rnacentral:tRNA from 1 species
CGGGGUGUAGCGCAGCCUGGCUAGCGUACCUGCUUUGGGAGCAGGUGGUCGCAGGUUCAAAUCCUGCCACCCCGA